CUGUAAGACCAGCGGCGCGGCGGCCGGCCGGCUGCAGCAGCUGGAGACGGCGCGGCGCGAGCUGUGCGAGCUGCACCGACAGACGGACGAGCGGCUGCAGGCGCUGGCGCCCCGCAUCACCGAAACGCGGCACGCGAUCUUCAAGCUGCGCGACAAGCUCAAGUACCGGACGGCGCAGCAGGUGGACGAUGCCGUGCUGCGGCUCGAGAAACAAGUACAAACGCAAAAUUUCAAGCUCAGGGAGGAGGAGAAGGUGGUCCGUGAGAUCAACGACCUGAAAAAAUCCAAACGAACGCUUCGCGAAUACGACGCCAAAAAGAAAGAGCUGGACGCGCUGACCCAGAACCAGCGGGGCCUGCGGUACGAGCGUGACCGUCUGUACGGGGAGAUCGACAAGAACAAGCGGGAGGAGGAGCGGAUCCACCGCGAGGCACAGUCCACUGCGGCCAGCAUCAAAAUGCUGGACGAAGAGCUGGACGGGCUGCGGCGUCAACGACAGGCGCUAGACGCCCUUUACCAGGAGAGGCUGGACGCCUGGCAGGCGUGGCAGCGGCAGGCGG